ACCGGCGCACGGGUGAGUAACACGUAUGCAACCUGCCCUCCGCAGGGGGAUAACCCGGAGAAAUCCGGACUAAUACCGCGUGGUACAUCUGUGGGGCAUCCCACGGGUGUUAAAAGGAAGCGAUUCCGGCGGAGGAUGGGCAUGCGGCGCAUUAGCUAGUUGGCGGGGUAACGGCCCACCAAGGCGACGAUGCGUAGGGGUUCUGAGAGGAAGGUCCCCCACACAGGUACUGAGACACGGACCAGACUCCUACGGGAGGCAGCAGUGAGGAAUAUUGGUCAAUGGGCGCGAGCCUGAACCAGCCAAGUCGCGUGAGGGAAGACGGUCCUAUGGAUUGUAAACCUCUUUUGUCGGGGAGCAAAAGACGCCACGCGUGGCGUUCCGAGAGUACCCGAAGAAAAAGCAUCGGCUAACUCCGUGCCAGCAGCCGCGGUAAUACGGAGGAUGCGAGCGUUAUCCGGAUUUAUUGGGUUUAAAGGGUGCGCAGGCGGAAGAUCAAGUCAGCGGUAAAAUUGAGAGGCUCAACCUCUUCGAGCCGUUGAAACUGGUUUUCUUGAGUGAGCGAGAAGUAUGCGGAAUGCGUGGUGUAGCGGUGAAAUGCAUAGAUAUCACGCAGAACUCCGAUUGCGAAGGCAGCAUACCGGCGCCCUACUGACGCUNAAGCACGAAAGCGUGGGUAUCGAACAGGAUUAGAUACCCUGGUA
rnacentral:rRNA from 1 species